ACAAGUACCGUGAGGGAAAGUUGAAAAGUACUUUGAAAAGAGAGUGCAAGAGAACGCGAAACCGGUGUAAUGGAAGCAUAUGGAGUUGACGUAUCUGGUGCGUAUUCAGUUGUUGGGCGUUGCGAUUGCUGUGUAUGUCGUUCCGCAAGGUCGGCUGCGCGGUAUUGUCGUGACGUUCGGUAAUGCAUUUACGUACGGAGUGCGCCGAGUUGUGCGACGAUGUCAAUCGAGACCGUUUGAGAGGACGUGGGCUUCGCGGCCCGUGAAACCUAGUGCGGUGGAGGUUGGUUGUUGUUGCGCAGCUUCGUGGAGGUGCGGGUUUUACGCGCGACGGUUAGUCGAUUCGACCGGUUUGUGUUGUACGCAUGCGUGCCGCGCUUAUGGGUUGUGUCGGUUGGUCGGCGUGCACUGCGCUCUUCUCGGUGUAUAGUCAAUGACCCAUUUGACCCGUCUUGAAACACGGACCAAGGAGUUUAUGGUAUACGCGAGUCAUUGGGCUUUCGAAACCCAAAGGCGUAAUGAAAGUGAGACCUUACUGGUUUGAAUGUGAGCGGUUGUUGUUUCGACGGCGGCCGCGCAACAUUGCCCCGUUUCGUGGACUUGUCCUGUUGCGGAGGUUGAGCGUAUGCUAUGAGACCCGAAAGAUGGUGAACUAUGCCUGAACAGGAUGAAGCCAGAGGAAACUCUGGUGGAGGUCCGAAGCGGUUCUGACGUGCAAAUCGAUCGUCUGAUUUUGGUAUAGGGGCGCAAGACUAAUCGAACCAUCUAGUAGCUGGUUCCUUCCGA
rnacentral:rRNA from 1 species